rnacentral:rRNA from 1 species
UACAGAGGUCUCAAGCGUUGUUCGGAUUCAUUGGGCGUAAAGGGUGUGUAGGUGGCGCGCUAAGUCGGGUGUGAAAUUUCGGAGCUUAACUCCGAAACUGCAUUCGAUACUGGCGUGCUUGAGGACUGGAGAGGAGACUGGAAUUCAUGGUGUAGCAGUGAAAUGCGUAGAGAUCAUGAGGAAGACCAGUGGCGAAGGCGGGUCUCUGGACAGUUCCUGACACUGAGACACGAAGGCCAGGGGAGCAUACGGG